AGCGAAAGCGAGUCCGAAUAGGGCGAUUUUAGUCGCUGGGUGUAGACCCGAAACCAAGCGAUCUAUCCAUGGUCAGGUUGAAGGCACGGUAACACGUGCUGGAGGACCGAACCCACUAAUGUUGAAAAAUUAGGGGAUGAACUGUGGAUAGGGGUGAAAGGCUAAACAAGCUUGGAAAUAGCUGGUUCUCUCCGAAAACUAUUUAGGUAGUGCCUCACGUAUUACUGCCGGGGGUAGAGCACUGUUAUAGCUAGGGGGUCAUGACGACUUACCAACCUAUGGCAAACUCCGAAUACCGGCAAGUAGCAGCGUGGGAGACAGAGCACCGGGUGCUAACGUCCGGACUCAAGAGGGAAACAACCCAGACCGCCAGCUAAGGUCCCUAACUAUGGCUAAGUGGGAAACGAAGUGGGAAGGCAUUGACAGUCAGGAGGUUGGCUUAGAAGCAGCCAUCCUUUAAAGAAAGCGUAAUAGCUCACUGAUCGAGUCGUCCUGCGCGGAAGAUGUAACGGGGCUAAGCCAUAGACCGAAGCUGCGGAUAGG
rnacentral:rRNA from 1 species